AACGGUUUUCGUACCCUCCGGGUGGACAGGGAGGACAGGUGGUGCAUGGUUGUCGUCAGCUCGUGUCGUGAGAUGUUGGUUAAGUCCCGCAACGAGCGCAACCCCUACGUUUAGUUGCUAACGCGUGAAGGCGAGCACUCUAGACGAACUGCCGUUGACAAAACGGAGGAAGGUGGGGAUGACGUCAAAUCAUCAUGCCCCUUAUGUUCUGGGCUACACACGUGCUACAAUGGCCGGUACAGACGGACGCAAAGCCGCGAGGUGGAGCAAAUCCUAAAAAGCCGGUCUCAGUUCGGAUUGCAGGCUGCAAUUCGCCUGCAUGAAGUCGGAAUCGCUAGUAAUCGCAGGUCAGCAUACUGCGGUGAAUACGUUCCCGGGCCUU
rnacentral:rRNA from 1 species